AGCGAACGCUGGCGGAAUGCUUAACACAUGCAAGUCGCACGGGUGGUUUCGGCCAUUAGUGGCGGACGGGUGAGUAACGCGUAGGAACGUGUCCUGGGAUGGGGGAUAACGCUGGGAAACUGGCGCUAAUACCGCAUAUCUCCUGAGGGAGAAAGCCACGAGGCGUCUUGGGAGCGGCCUGCGUCCGAUUAGCUUGUUGGUUAGGUAAUGGCUGACCAAGGCGAUGAUCGGUAGCUGGUCUGAGAGGAUGAUCAGCCACACUGGGACUGAGACACGGCCCAGACUCCUACGGGAGGCAGCAGUGGGGAAUAUUGGACAAUGGGCGCAAGCCUGAUCCAGCAAUUCCGCGUGGGUGAAGAAGGUCUUCGGAUUGUAAAGCCCUUUCGGCGGGGACGAUGAUGACGGUACCCGCAGAAGAAGCCCCGGCUAACUUCGUGCCAGCAGCCGCCGUAAGAC
rnacentral:rRNA from 1 species